rnacentral:sRNA from 1 species
GCAGGGCACAGUGGCACUUUCUUGUAGAUCCAGCUUCUCAAGAGGCUGAGGCAGGAGGAUCAAUUGAGCCCAGGAAUUCAGGGACUGCUUGAGAAACAUAGUGAGACCCUGUCUCAA